UGACUUCUGUUUCGUGCGAGAAGUUUUCUUGGUUCUUUUCCUUACUCCUACAAAAUCGGGAAUCUAUCGACAGUCGUCUGCAGUCAAGCCGUAAAUCGGAAGACUAAGGGCGGCACGAGGGUACCCACCUGGACCUAAAAAAGGUCAUGUUACUGAGUUUACGAUGCACGGCGAAUACGGAAGUCAC
rnacentral:other from 1 species